UACGAAGGGAGCUAGCGUUGUUCGGAAUUACUGGGCGUAAAGGGCGUGUAGGCGGUUCCAUAAGUCAGAUGUGAAAGCCCUAGGCUUAACCUAGGAGGUGCAUUUGAUACUGUGGAACUAGAGAUCGAGAGAGGAAAGUGGAAUUACGAGUGUAGAGGUGAAAUUCGUAGAUAUUCGUAAGAACACCAGUGGCGAAGGCGACUUUCUGGCUCGAUACUGACGCUAAGGCGCGAAAGCGUGGGAGCAAACAGG
rnacentral:rRNA from 1 species